GCCAGGGCGUAGCAGGGGGGUGGGGGAGUACGUGGGGGGCGAUGGUUGUGCGGAGUGGUGGGGAGUAAGGUGGUUGGAGGCGGGUGGGUGUGUCGGCUGUGAAAGCCCGGGGCUCAGCCCGGGAGUGGGAGGGGGUACGGGCAGACGAGAGUGUGGUAGGGGGGGGUGGAAUUCCUGGUGUAGCGGUGAAAUGCGCAGAUAUCAGGAGGAACACCGAUGGCGAAGGCAGGGCUCUGGGCAACGACUGACGCUGAGAAGCGAAAGCAUGGGGAGCGAACAGGAUUAGAUACCCUGGUAGUC
rnacentral:rRNA from 1 species